GGCUAACGCUGGCGGCGUGUCUUAGCCAUGCAAGUCGAGCGGACUUAUGGGGGUAACUUAUAAGUCAGCGGCGGACGGCGGAGUAACACGUAGCUAACCUACCCUCUGGACGGGGAUAACCUACCGAAAGGUGGGCUAAUACCCGAUGUAGUCAUCCUGUAUAGGGGUGAUGAAAGGUGGGCUCCUGUUUACAAGCUCAUGCUGGAGGAGGGGGCUGCGGCCUAUCAGGUAGUUGGUAGGGUAAUAGCCUACCAAGCCGAUGACGGGUAGCCGGCCUGAGAGGGUGACCGGCCCGAGGGGCACUGAGAUACGGGUCCCACUCCUACGGGAGGCAGCAGGCUAGAAAUUUGGGCAAUGGGGGAAACCCUGACCCAGUGACGCCGCGUGCAGGAAGGAGCCCUUCGGGGUGUAAACUGCUGUCGUGUAGGGAGAAGGGGUACUAAGGUGAACAAUACUUAGUACUUGACGGUACUACAGGAGGAAGCCCAGGCUAACCUCGUGCCAGCAGCCGCGGUAAUAUAGCGUAC
rnacentral:rRNA from 1 species